rnacentral:rRNA from 1 species
AGUGGCGGACGGGUGAGUAACGCGUAGGAAUCUACCUGAUAGUGGGGGAUAGCCCGAAGAAAUUCGGAUUAAUACCGCAUAAUCUAUUCGUAGUAAAGUGGGGGACUUUCGAGCCUCACGCUAUCAGAUGAGCCUGCGUAAGAUUAGCUAGUUGGUAGGGUAAAAGCCUACCAAGGCGACGAUCUUUAGCUGGUCUGAGAGGAUGAUCAGCCACAUCGGGACUGAGACACGGCCCGAACUCCUACGGGAGGCAGCAGUGGGGAAUAUUGGACAAUGGGGGCAACCCUGAUCCAGCAAUACCGCGUGUGUGAAGAAGGCCUGAGGGUUGUAAAGCACUUUCAAUUGUGAAGAAAAGCUAGUGGUUAAUAGCCAUUAGCCUUGACGUUAACUUUAGAAGAAGCACCGGCUAACUCCGUGCCAGCAGCCGCGGUAAUACGGAGGGUGCAAGCGUUAAUCGGAAUUACUGGGCGUAAAGCGUGCGUAGGCGGUUUAUUAAGUCAGAUGUGAAAGCCCCGGGCUUAACCUGGGAACUGCAUUUGAAACUGGUCAACUAGAGUAUGGUAGAGGAAAGUGGAAUUUCUGGUGUAGCGGUGAAAUGCGUAGAUAUCAGAAUGAACAUCAAAUGGGCGCGCACUUUCUGGACCAAUACUGACGCUGAGUACGAAAGCGUGAGCAGCAAACAGCAUUAGAUACCCUGGGUUUAGAC